CGGAGAGUGUGCAUAUCGCACAGGUGUGAAUGCUGGGUGUAACCAUCAGCAAACACUCAGUUGGACAAGGUGGUGCACAGGAUAGUGGGCUGGGAAGACAAAUAUCACUGAGGGCAUUAAGUCUGGGCUGAAUGCUGGAGAGAAGCAGCAUCUGUGAGAUGGCUCCUGGAGGUCCAAGGGACCAAGGGAUCUCCAGUAGCCAGCUAGCUACUGGAAAGACACUGGGAUAAGGAUUUUGGCUACUGAAUGACCUGACAAACACCCAAACUGGCACAACUGAAGGGGUGAAUUCAGGUAAAAGAGGUCAAGACAAGCACUUCAAACUAGAUUUUUCAACAAAGCAUAUUCUCAGAAUGACACCAUCAAGUCCGCCUUUCAAGAAAAGCCUUUCUGCAGCACAGGGCUACAACCCAUGCUCUUUGUCUCC
rnacentral:lncRNA from 1 species